AAAACUUCUUGUAAUACCAGAUUUGGGGGGCAGAAGAUAAGGCAGCUGUUCUACGGGGUUUCAGGAUAGCAACUGGCUUAAUAAGGAGAUGUACUAUAAACUAUAAUGAAGAAGAGUGACACUGGUGCUUUUUUUGAAGAUUAUAUGGUUAUGAUGGAAAGGAAGACAGAACUGACCUAGGAAAAUGGAAGCUGAAGCCCUGAGAGGUUCCCAGGAAUGAAUGAAUAACCUAAAUAAUGGAAUCUUUUAUAAUGUAGAUCACCUUCUAUCAUGCCCUAACUGCUCCUGCAAAGACAUGCUGGUGCCCUUCAGAAUGAACAGUGAAUGAAAUCGAUCCUAGACCCAGAGAUGGGAAUAUUUCUAACCUAAAGAUAUCCUCCUACCAGCACAGAAUAUCACCAUCCAACAUCACACAUUUGUGGUUCUGUAACACCAAGUAUCAUAGUGUGAACAAACCCAGAAACAAAACUCAAGAAGAGAACAAAUUUCUUACUAUUUUAGAUGUAAAAUAUAGACUGAGUAUAUAUUGAGGGAAGGAAAAGGGGGAGCAAAGAAAAGGAAAGUGAGAAAAUUAUUGGGGGGAGAGGGGAAGGAGAGAAGCACAGAAAAGGGAAAAUAAGAGAGGGGAAGAAAAAAGAGGUGAAGGUACAAAGGAAGGGGAAAGCAAAGAGUUCAACUCAAAUAUCAGCAUAUGUAAAGGUACUAUCCUUCCUAGAGAAAAAGACAAUGAAGCUUUAAGUCAGGGAAAUAAAACUUUUCAGCUCACAAACUAAAACAGUAUUUAAUAUUCAGCAAUUAAUAACAGAGCUACCAGAGUUGCUGAGUUUGCAGCUUUGCUAAUGCAUGACGCAUUAACUCAUUAUACUGAAGCCAAAACAGGCACAAUUUUCCUCAAGCUUCCCUUUUAAGGAAGAACUGCAGACUUGGCUGUUGGUUAAGUUAAAUAAGGACAGGUUUUAUUGUUUUAAAAAAUGCCAAGGAGACAGCAAAGCUAUGCUCCAACUAUUUAAGAAGGAAGAACCUGGAAAUUUAUUGCCUUAAUCAGUAUUGCUCACUUUAAUUUUAAAAGCUUACAUUUUAUGGAACUAGAACCUAAAAAAAAUAAAUGGCAGCAUUAAAUUAAAUGAGAGAAAAAAUUCCAAAUAGCAACUGAAA